UCAUUUGCUUACAGAAUCUUGGCAACUCCAGGAAAUUCAGUGAAACUCUCAAGGUGCUGAAGAUUACCGAAAAAGGAUUGUCAUCAGAGCCAUCACACAGGUAGUCAUUGUUCCUGAUGCUCCCCUGACUGGAAUUGCUCCUGAUGAAAUGCAAGCUCGUCCACCCUGUGUGACUAAAGGUAUUAAAAGCUAUGAAGAAUAUGGACAGGGUAUGUAUGUACAGGCAUACCUUGGAGAUACUUCUUGAAGUUUUGGGCCAAACCACUGCAAUAAAGUGCAUGUCGCAAUAAGUGGCCUAUGAAAACAAACUGAAAGUAGCUAAUGAAGAUACUCAGAGGCCAGUUGAGCUGAAAGUCUUCCCAAGAAAGCAGCCCUAUAUUCCAAAUGCUUUAGCUAUGUCCUCUAUCACCAAGGUUUGGAUUUAGAACGUCUUUUCUGGGGCCGGCCUGGUGGUGCAGCGGUUAAGUGCACACGUCCACUUCGGAAGCCUGAGGUACGCCGGCUGGGAUCCCGGGUGCGGACAUGGCACCGCUUGGCAAAAGCCAUGCAGUGAUGACCAAGGACAUGAACCAAAUGCAACAUACACAAAAACAAAUAAUUAAGCAAUGAAGUUUAUGAGAAAAGAAGGUUGAAGAACGAUACACCUUUUCUACCACAGCAAUGCUAUUAUACAUAAAUCCUAAUGAUUUACCACUGACCCAAUUUAUUAUCUAGCAUUAGAACCAUCUUUCUUUUCAAAAGUAUAACAUGCUCUAUGAUGUGUCUUAUGUUACUUCCUCCUAGGUCUUAAUUUGUCUGAUUGGCCUAUUGGCACAUCUACCGAUCAAAAUCUAUAGUUUUUAUUUCAGUUAAAGGUACUACUGAGGUUCAGGUUCUCACAGAAAAUGAAUCUGUACCUACACAGUCAUGCUGCAGUGGCAGACGACAGCUCCCUCUACUGACCAACAGUGUAGAGGAAAGCACGCAUAUCUGAUCCUACCUCUAAAAAUAUUAAGAACUUACUUAUCUUGUGGGUCUAUAAGUGGGAUGAUAUCUAGACAAAUACACACAUAUAUGCAUGCAUACAAACAUACACAAAAACACAGGUUAUCCACAUUUUCGCUCCUGCCCCAAUAUACAUAAGCCUGACAAAUGCUGAGGAUAGGCAAGGAGAGUUGAUACAAUUGAAAGGCAUCCUCUUUUUGUAUAUAGGAGCACAAUCCGGGUAAACUACUGUGAGUAUUUAAUAACAACCACAUAAAUCUGCAUCUCAGUUACCACGACUAGAUUUUAAUUUCAUCCAGGUAUUAAGAACUCAAGAAUCAAUAAUGUCUGCAUUAAGUUGAAGUGCAACUAAGUUUUUUUCAUAAUAUUCAUUAGUUUCUAACUGUUUCAGACUCUUUUUAAUUUAUUGAACUAAUCAACUAAUAUUUUUCAGUUAUCUACUCUGGGCCAGGCAAGAUGCUAAGUGUUGGGGAUGCAGCAAUGAGCCAACGAAGCAAAAUCUCUUCCUUCACAGAGAUUAUAUUCUAGUGGGGAGAAAUAAAUGUUCAUGUUAAUUCAUACUCAGUUUCUAAAGUCUUCCAUGUAUAAAAACAUUUCAAAUAAGUAAAAGUGAGUUUUAAUCAUUCCCUCAAUGAAAUUUGGAAAUGUGAGGGUUUU